rnacentral:rRNA from 1 species
GACAGAGGGGGCGAGCGUUGACCGGAGUCACUGGGCGUAAAGCGCGCGCAGGCGGUCGGCAAAGGGAGGUGUGAAAGCCCCCGGCUCAACCGGGGGAGGGCAUGUGAAACUCGGGGACUGGAGCGGCGCAGAGGCGGCUCGAAUUGCCGGUGUAGCGGUGAAAUGCGUAGAGAUCGGCAGGAAGACUAAUGGGGAAGCCAGUGGCCUGGCAGGUUGCUGACGCUGAGGCGCGCCAGCGUGGGGAGCGAACCGG